rnacentral:misc_RNA from 1 species
CAACCCUCGAGCUCCCUUUGGGGAGCCCGGCGUUGGGGACCGGCAGCUACCGCCGACCCCGAAAUACAGUGGCGGCCCGUCACGGCGACCUCUGCGUAGUAAUCCAACCUCGCACCGGGAACCCGACGCGGCCACGCCGUAAAACACCCCAAUUCUGAA